GACCAAUCACUCUUCUGUGACCAGUCACUACAAAGUAUAAUCAGUGACAUAAACCCAGAUAUGAAGGUCUGAAAGCAAUGAACAUUGGCAAACAGUUUUGCGAACAUAAAACUUGUCACAUACAGACUGCAAAUAUUCAGAACCCGCAACUUCGCCGAGGAGGAAGACAUAACCUCAACUCUGGAAUGCCGCUCCCAAAGAGACAUACCUCAAUCUUUUUUCCAUACUAAACGAGUACGUAGGCACAGAAAAAGCUCCGAAAAAUGUUGAC